rnacentral:lncRNA from 1 species
UAAAUAAUAGAAAAUAAAUAAUAAAUCCAUGAGCAUAACAUCUCAACUCUUGUCAGUUACUCAGAUCCGAUCUUAUCUACAAACCAUCUACUCCCGUACAAGUUCGAUCAUCGUAGGUUGAAACUACAACUACAACAUUUUAGGGCGAGCAACCAAAUUUAUCAUAUCAACCAAUAUACAAUGAUCAUAUUAACUAAAAUAAUAGCCAAAUCCUAAACAUAUAUCAUCACAACAUUAAAAUCAUAACAUUAACCUCACAACAUUAACAUCACAACCCAAUAGUCUAUUCCCUCUACACUACCACACCACCUAAUCACCAUAACCAAUUCAUUACGAGGCACACGACAUCGUCCUCCCACAUCACACGGCCAACGAGAACCUCUUUUCGCAUCACAAGGCCAAAAGAGUUAUCACUGUCAAACCAUCAUCUUUCCGCAUCACACAGCCGAAGAGAAUGUCUUUCCCACAUCACACGGCCUAAAGAGUCAUCACUACCAAAUCAUCAUCUUCCUGCAUCACACGGCUGAAAGAGUCAUCACUACUAAAUCAUCAUCUUCCCGCAUCACACGUGAAAGAGAAUUUCUUUCCCGCAUCACACAACCGAAAGAAUCCUCACUACCAAAUCAUCACCUAAUAACUUCUAUCUCUCCUUCUCUUUUCAUCACCACUGAACUACUCAUUCACCCUACUCAUCUUUUAUUCUGAGUUUUCAAAACUCAUAACUCCCUCUUACUUCUAUCACACCAUGCAUCCAUAGAAUAACCCACACCUUUUGACACUCCAAACCACACCCAUCUUGGUCACCAAUAACAUCAUCAAAUGCACAUGCAACAAGAACAUACAAUUCAAAACCCUACACAUAUAUGAUCACUUCAUGCCAUGCAUUCAACCUUAACAGGUUAACAAAACCCUUUUAUACCCAAUUCUCCUCUAGACUGAAACAAACACCACUCAUGGUGCACAACCGAUCACAAAACAAAUAUGAAUGGUAAGAACAUCACCACCCCAAUUACACAUACAAUAAUUCUAGCUACUCCCCUUACCCUACAUGCACAAGAUAAUUCUAGUCACUCCCCUUAUCUAAUCUUGUACGAUUUUUGUUUCCAAUAUCACCAAAGAAAGCUUCACAAUGUCACCGAUGGUCCUCCCAUAUUUUAUAUUCUAUUUUCUCCUAGAAAGCGUCUUUUC